rnacentral:lncRNA from 1 species
GUCUAAGCUAGCUGGCUAUUGUGUGAAAACACCCCAACAGAAGUCAAAAAAAAAUUUCAAGAAAGACGGCUCUAGUUUCCAAUUCUUGACCAGCCUUCAAGUUUUACCAAAUCUGAUUCAAAGGUCAAAAAAAAAAUUUUCAAGAAAGACGGCUCUAGUUUCCAAUUCUUGACCAGCCUUCAAGUUUUACCAAAUCUGAUUCAAACUUGGACUUUCAAAUCUGAACAGCCCUAGUCUUGGUCAGCAUUCAAGCCACCAAAUCUGAUUCAAACUUGGACUUUCAAAUCUGAACAGCCCUAGUCUUGGUCAGCAUUCAAGCCACCAAAUCUGAUUCAAACUUGGACUUCCAAAUCUGAACAACAUCCAAUUCUUGACAGCCUACAAGUUUACCAAAUUUUGUGCAAAAUCUGACUUCCAAA